GAGCUAAUGUCCCCAGCUCCCGCAGAUCUGCAGGUCAUACGCCCACAUUCUUUGCUGCUGGCAUUCUCUGGGGUUAGCCACAGCUCGUUAAGAUGCAUUUCACAGCGGGAUAAGCCUCCUUUCUUCCCACGACACGUGUCUCUCUCUAAAUGCUAACAUUUCUCCACCACCAAGGCAUAGUCACAACAUGCUUUGAGACUGUAGACUCCUGGUAUCCUAAGAGAAGGAAUUGUAACCACCGCACUGAGUCCUCGCUUUCACGCCGUACCUGACUUGUCAGUUUGUAGCCAAACAACCAAUACUAAGCUUUGAAUGGUGCUAAUCAGAGUUUAGGAAUUCUCUAUAAAACAUGGCUGCCCUUCCUCCCCAGGUGAUGUAGGAUAUUUAGACCAUAGUUAGACUGUUAGUGAAUAGUGGUGUCCUCAAAAUUUUACUUUGUAAUUCUUCAAAAUUGAUUAUUUUUAAUGUCUAUAUGAAGAAAACCCUUCAGAUCUUUGAUAUAUCAUAUUCAUUGAAAGACAUUUUCCUAUUGUAUUCAUAAUGUAUUAAAAGUUGUUUGUGCUUAAUAAAAAUCUUCUUUAAACAUCUUAUUUAAUUUGGUAGUUACGUCCUGCUUCUAAACACGAGUGCCUUACUAACGGGGCAUUCUUAGAAUUGUAAGGAGGGUUAAUCAUUGUUUGUGAUGGUGGAUGCAUGUAUUUUAGGCAAGAAUUUCAUAUGUAUGCAUGUGUAUAUAAUAAAAAACAAGCAUGUUUAUUGUGAAGAAUAAUUUAGACCAUUAAGAACAUAAUAAUAGAAUACUAUUUUAAACUUUUCUCUUGAAAAAUGGUGUCCAGAAUAUUAGCUCCCCUGAAGACACUUUGUCUGUGGGGAAGGAGGGCUAAAGAUGAAGGUAUACAUACUCAAUGUAAUCUUUUAUAUCACAGCAAUCACUCUGGAACUAAAGCAGAAAUUGUUAAUAAUAUUUAAUAUCUCAUGGUAUUAGAGGCAAAAAAAUCAUCCUGAAGUAUAGUCACAAAAACUGUAUAGAUCUUUAGAAAUAAAAUUUGUCAUAAAAUG
rnacentral:lncRNA from 1 species